AUUGAACGCUGGCGGCAGGCCUAACACAUGCAAGUCGAACGAGUCGCGGACGGGAGAGUAAUGUAUGGGCAUCUGCCUGAGGGAGGGGGAUCACUACUGGAAACGGUAGCUACUACCACAUACCAUCGCAUGUGCCCAGUGGGGAUUAGCUAGUUGGGGGGGUAAAGGCCCACCAGGGCGACGAUCCCUAGCUGGUCUGAGAGGAUGACCAGCCACACGGGAACUGAGACACGGUCCAGACUCCUACGGGAGGCAGCAGUGGGGAAUAUUGGACAAUGGGCGCAAGCCUGAUGCAGCCAUGCCGCGUGUGUGAAGAAGGCCUUCGGGUUGUAAAGUACUUUAAGUGGGGAGGCGUUACCCGCAGAAGAAGCACCGGCUAACUCCGUGCCAGCAGCCGCGGUAAUUC
rnacentral:rRNA from 1 species